UGAGUAACGCGUGGAUAACCUGCCUCACACUGGGGGAUAACAGUUAGAAAUGACUGCUAAUACCGCAUGAGCGCACAGUACCGCAUGGUACGGUGUGAAAAACUCCGGUGGUGUGAGAUGGAUCCGCGUCUGAUUAGCCAGUUGGCGGGGUAACGGCCCACCAAAGCGACGAUCAGUAGCCGACCUGAGAGGGUGACCGGCCACAUUGGGACUGAGACACGGCCCAA
rnacentral:rRNA from 1 species